rnacentral:piRNA from 1 species
GACAGAGGAUAGCUGUGACUCAUGGG